GGGACGGCGGAGGAUCAUUA
rnacentral:rRNA from 1 species